rnacentral:rRNA from 1 species
GGGGAAUUUUCCGCAAUGGGCGAAAGCCUGACGGAGCAAGACCGCGUGGGGGAAGAAGGCUCUUGGGUUGUCAACCCCUUUUCUCAGGGAAGAAGUUCUGACGGUACCUGAGGAAUAAGCAUCGGCUAACUCCGUGCCAGCAGCCGCGGUAAGACGGAGGAUGCAAGCGUUAUCCGGAAUUAUUGGGCGUAAAGCGUCCGUAGGUGGCUUUUCAAGUCGGCGGUCAAAGACCGGGGCUUAACUCCGGAAAGGCCGUGGAAACUGAAAGGCUAGAGAAAGGUAGGAGUAGGGGGAAUUCCCGGUGUAGCGGUGAAAUGCGUAGAGAUCGGGAAGAACACCGGUGGCGAAAGCGCCCUACUGGACCUUAUCUGACACUGAGGGACGAAAGCUAGGGGAGCGAAAGGGAUUAGAUACCCCAGUAGUC